rnacentral:rRNA from 1 species
UACGGAGGGAGCUAGCGUUGUUCGGAAUUACUGGGCGUAAAGCGCACGUAGGCGGUUAUUCAAGUCAGAGGUGAAAGCCCGGAGCUCAACUCCGGAAUUGCCUUUGAAACUAGAUAACUUGAAUCCAGGAGAGGUGAGUGGAAUUCCGAGUGUAGAGGUGAAAUUCGUAGAUAUUCGGAAGAACACCAGUGGCGAAGGCGGCUCACUGGACUGGUAUUGACGCUGAGGUGCGAAAGCGUGGGGAGCAAACAGG